GGGUCCGCACAAGCGGUGGAGUAUGUGGUUUAAUUCGAUGAUACGCGAGGAACCUUACCUGGGCUAGAAUGCUAUUUGACCGCUGGUGAAAGCCAGUUUUGUAGCAAUACACAGAUAGCAAGGUGCUGCAUGGCUGUCGUCAGCUCGUGCCGUGAGGUGUUGGGUUAAGUCCCGCAACGAGCGCAACCCCCAUCUUCAGUUGCCAGCACGUCAUGGUGGGAACUCUGAAGAAACUGCCGUCGCAAGACGUGAGGAAGGAGGGGAUGAUGUCAAGUCAUCAUGGCCUUUAUGCCCAGGGCUACACACGUACUACAAUGGGGAGGACAAAGGGCAGCCACCUGGUAACAGGGCGCUAAUCUCAAAAACCUUCUCUCAGUUCAGAUUGAGGUCUGCAACUCGACCUCAUGAAGCUGGAAUCGCUAGUAAUCGCGCAUCAGCAAUGGCGCGGUGAAUACGUUCCCGGACCUU
rnacentral:rRNA from 1 species